ensembl:lncRNA
AUAGAGGUCGCUCGAGCCAGAAUAAAAUCCUAUGAUGAAGAAAUAAAACAAGAGACAAGAAGUCAAUCAAUACCCAAUGAUCAUCAAGGGCAGAGAAACGAAAUGUUACAUCAGCAUUGCAGUGUUGUUCAGUCAAAACCUCUCAGUGAAGUUUCCCACCUUGCUCAAGCAGUUCAGGACAGCAUAGCCAUAAACAGGUUACCUGUACCUGAGCCUACAGUGUUCAACGGAGACCCUAUGCAGUUUGUAGACUGGAAAGCAUCAUUUAUAUCGUUAAUAGAUAGAAGAGGCAUCUCAGUAGCUGAAAAACUCUAUUAUUUAAAAAAGUAUUUGAGUGGCUCAGCACACAAAUACCUUGAGGGCACUUUUUAUCGAAACGAUGAAGAAGCCUACAAAGAUGCUUGGGACAAGCUUAACCAAAGGUACGGCCAGCCCUUUGUUAUUCAAAGAGCGUUUCGGGAAAAGCUGUCUAAGUGGCCUAAAAUACAGUCCAAAGAUGCUGAAGGUCUGAGAACAUUUUCAGACUUCUUAAAUGCCUGCUUGCAAGCCAUACCUCACGUUAAAGGUCUGGAAAUAUUAAAUGACUGUGAGGAGAACCAGAAGCUGGUCCAAAAACUUCCUGACUGGGCAGCUUCCCGAUGGAACCGCCAGGUCACAACAGCCCUCAUGGAUGGCAAAGAGUUUCCAAAUUUUCAUGACUUUGUCAAUUUCAUGUCUACAGAGGCAGAAAUUAUGUGCAAUCCCAUCACGUCCUUACAUGCUCUUCAUUCUCGUGAAUCACCUCAAGAGAGAAGAAUCUUAAAGGAAACCAAAGGAAACAGAGCAGUUGUCUUUAAGACUCAAACAAGUGUAAACAAUGAUAGACAAACAAUAGUUAACGAACAGUUAAAAGCACAGUGCAUGUUGUGUCAAGAUGACAAUCAUCAACUUCAUAAGUGCCUGAAAUUCAUGGAAAAGUCUCUGAAAGACAGAAGGGCCUAUGUUAAGGAUAACAAACUCUGUUAUGGAUGUUUAAAACCAGGUCACUGUGCUAAGGAGUGUCGUCGUCGACACACAUGUGAUGUAUGCAAAUUACGACAUCCCACAUGUCUUCAUGAUUACAGCUAUGACAAGGACAGAAAUAGAGAACGACCAUUGCCCAUGGUAAGCAAUGUGCAUGCACUUGAAAGUGAAACUACUAAUGCCAUGUCACUUAAUAUCACAAGUGAAGGUCAGUCAGUCAUUACAUCUAU